AUUGAACGCUGGCGGCAGGCCUAACACAUGCAAGUCGAGCGGUAACAGAGAGAAGCUUGCUUCUCUGCUGACGAGCGGCGGACGGGUGAGUAAUGCGUAUGCAACCUACCUUUAACAGGGGGAUAACGGAGAGAAAUUUCCACUAAUACCCCAUAACAUCGAUCAAGGCAUCUUGAUUGGUUGAAAACUCCGGUGGUUAAAGAUGGGCAUGCGUUGUAUUUGGUAGUUGGUGAGGUAAUGGCUCACCAAGCCUACGAUACAUAGGGGGACUGAGAGGUUAGCCCCCCACACUGGUACUGAGACACGGACCAGACUCCUACGGGAGGCAGCAGUGAGGAAUAUUGGUCAAUGGGGGCAACCCUGAACCAGCCAUGCCGCGUGCAGGAAGACGGCUCUAUGAGUUGUAAACUGCUUUUAAACAGGGAUAAAGCACAGUAUGUAUACUGUGUUGAAGGUACUGUAAGAAUAAGGAUCGGCUAACUCCGUGCCAGCCGCCGCCGUAA
rnacentral:rRNA from 1 species